rnacentral:rRNA from 1 species
GAUGAACGCUGGCGGCGUGCCUAAUACAUGCAAGUCGAGCGAACGGACGAGAAGCUUGCUUCUCUGAUGUUAGCGGCGGACGGGUGAGUAACACGUGGAUAACCUACCUAUAAGACUGGGAUAACUUCGGGAAACCGUAGCUAAUACCGGAUAAUAUUUUGAACCGCAUGGUUCAAUAGUGAAAGACGGUCUUGCUGUCACUUAUAGAUGGAUCCGCGUUGCAUUAGCUAGUUGGUAAGGUAACGGCUUACCAAGGCAACGAUGCAUAGCCGACCUGAGAGGGUGAUCGGCCACACUGGAACUGAGGCACGGUCCAGACUCCUACGGGAGGCAGCAGUAGGGAAUCUUCCGCAAUGGGCGAAAGCCUGACGGAGCAACGCCGCGUGAGUGAUGAAGGUCUUCGGAUCGUAAAACUCUGUUAUUAGGGAAGAACAUAUGUGUAAGUAACUGUGCACAGCUUGACGGUACCUAAUCAGAAAGCCACGGCUAACUACGUG